rnacentral:lncRNA from 1 species
ACAGCCUCUGAGGGGGCGCUGGAGGAUGGCCGCCCUGUUUCCGGAAGCUGGCACGCACAUCUGUGGGGCAGGAAGAGCCUUGCGGUCGUUUGUUCAGCUCUGACACUCCCUGACCUCUGGACCUCUCAUGCUAUCUGUGACAUGAGAGCAGCACACGCCAGGACCCGACACGGAGGCGGCGGGUCUAGGACAACACUCCGGAGCCCCGGAGUCCUGGGGUGGGCAGCCCUGGCUCUGGCCAUCCAGUGCUCCCGGCCUUGCUCUCUGUGCUUCCCCUCAGCACCCCCUCGGAAAUCUUCCCCCUGGAGCCCCUUCUUCCAGCUUCACCCUGUACCCAGGAAGGCUCUGCUGGGCUGCCUGGGACCCCGCAGCACUGGACAGAGGAUCUGGUCAAGCCAGGCGCUCAGAUACCACGUCCACAGUCCUUUACAGACAGAGAUUGGCCCAAAAAAGGACCACAUCCUUUAGAGGUUGGGCAAGAAGCCAACGGAUAGAGAUACGAACAGAUUCACAGAAGAGGAACCAUGAGAUGGAGACGGUUCACUGGAGACCUAAAAAGAUGCUCAGCAUCUUCAUAAAAUGAGAACUUGGCAUUAAAAGUACGCUAUGGCACGAUUUGUCCCGGUCAGAUGAGCUGAAUCCCAGCGCCUGACAGCCAUCUAUGGGGGAAACAUCCUCGGAUAUCAUCUGUUGGUAUUUAACAUGAUCCAAACCCCAGCAGAGGGGACCUGGAAAUCCCACAAAAUUAGAGAUGCCUUGCCCUUUGGCCCAGUAAUCCCACUUCCAGGAAUCUUGCCAGAGACAGAACAGCAAAGUGAGGAAGAGGACACUGGAGAGGCUUUUCCCUGCCGGGCGGUAGAGUAGCGCAGCCUGGAAACCACUCAGACGUCUGUCCAGGGCCCUGCGUGUGUGAGAUGCUUGUCCACUCCACGGGGCACGGGGGUUGUAAAAAGGAAGGAGAAGUAUUCUAUAUACUACUAAUAGUUUUCUCCAGGAUAGAUCGCUAGGGGGAAAAGCAUUAAUGUGUAAUUAUUUAUAGCACGCCAGCAACUUCUAUCUUUACAAACGGAGGGAUAAGCCAUUAAAUUUGUUUUAAAUUAAAUUAUUACCUACAGGGAGCAGGCGGGAAGGAGGUGAAGGGAGGCUGGAAUAGAAACUAUUAUAUCUUGAUUUGUAGAUUCGGCUUUAGAGCCAUGUAAAUAUUUAUGUAAUUACUAAGUUAAAUUAAAUUACAUUUUUAAAGGAAAAUUUUUAAACUUAAAAGCAAGAUAAAACCAAUUAACUUGCAUUAGCACCUGACAGCAUAAUCCUAGCAAAGUCUUCCAAGUGAUUUUUAAAAUCAGUAUUUGACUACGUAUCUACAUAGCCUGAGUGUGAAAUGAAUGUCAAAAAUGUUUCAUUUCUGUAAUCAUUUUCCAAAUAAUGUUAAAACAGAGUUUCAUCUGUACAUCUGCAUAACCCAAGGAUU